GGAAGCUGCAUGCACUAUGUGUGCUCACGCUUCCCCCCAUGUGAUUGCAGUCCCGGCUAUGCAAGACGUGGGGUGUCGGAUUCCCCACACCCCACAGCGAAGCAGAGCGCCACCUCCUCCUGCCAUCGGCCAUCUGAUGAGCCUCAUAAUCCCUUGAAUGAAAAUCUGCAGCAUUGUUCCAGUGCCAGUGUGGUGUUUCCAAAUGAGAGCUGAGGGAAUAGCUGGAGACUCUCCUGAAUGCUGUCAACAAGCCACUGUGGACUACACUGUGAGAAAUGAAGGGGAAGAUUUAUAUGUACUAAGUUACUUACUGCUCUUUGUUAAUAUGGGAAAAGAGCCUCUUAACCUGACAGGCAAAAAAUGAACACUAGAUAGAACACAAUAAAAACCUAGAACAAGGGCUUGUAGAAAUCAAA